UUGUAUCUGAAGUUCGACGAGGAUGAGAACCUCCGGAGGGCAAGAGGUUCGACCCGAGCGAAGCGCGAGAAAAUGUUGCGUCAGCAACGGCCUCGCGCAGGGCGAGCCAUCCUCUCAUCACCGGCA
rnacentral:sRNA from 1 species